ACGUGGGCAAUCUGCCCUUCACUCUGGGACAAGCCCUGGAAACGGGGUCUAAUACCGGAUAACACCGGCCUCCGCAUGGAGGCUGGUUGAAAGCUCCGGCGGUGAAGGAUGAGCCCGCGGCCUAUCAGCUUGUUGGUGGGGUAAUGGCCCACCAAGGCGACGACGGGUAGCCGGCCUGAGAGGGCGACCGGCCACACUGGGACUGAGACACGGCCCAGACUCCUACGGGAGGCAGCAGUGGGGAAUAUUGCACAAUGGGCGAAAGCCUGAUGCAGCGACGCCGCGUGAGGGAUGACGGCCUUCGGGUUGUAAACCUCUUUCAGCAGGGAAGAAGCGAAAGUGACGGUACCUGCAGAAGAAGCGCCGGCUAACUACGUGCCAGCAGCCGCGGUAAUACGUAGGGCGCAAGCGUUGUCCGGAAUUAUUGGGCGUAAAGAGCUCGUAGGCGGCUUGUCACGUCGGGUGUGAAAGCCCGGGGCUUAACCCCGGGUCUGCAUCCGAUACGGGCAGGCUAGAGUGUGGUAGGGGAGAUCGGAAUUCCUGGUGUAGCGGUGAAAUGCGCAGAUAUCAGGAGGAACACCGGUGGCGAAGGCGGAUCUCUGGGCCAUUACUGACGCUGAGGAGCGAAAGCGUGGGGAGCGAACAGGAUUAGAUACCC
rnacentral:rRNA from 1 species